rnacentral:rRNA from 1 species
ACAGAGAACAUGCCCUUUAGGGGGUAUAUCUCCCACCCUUUGUUUACAAUACCUUUGUUGCUUUGGUGGGCCCGUCUUUUAGACCACCGGCCUUGGCUGGUCUGUGCCCGCCAGAGGACCAAACAAUUCCUUUUAUUAUGUUGUCUGAGUCCAAAUAAUUUUUAAAACUUUCAACAACGGAUCUCUUGGUUCUGGCAUCGAUGAAGAACGCAGCGAAAUGCGAUAAGUAAUGUGAAUUGCAGAAUUCAGUGAAUCAUCGAAUCUUUGAACGCACAUUGCGCCCCUUGGUAUUCCGAGGGGCAUGCCUGUUCGAGCGUCAUUAUAACCACUCAAGCCUCGGCUUGGUCUUGGGGUUCGCGGUCUCGCGGCCCUUAAAAUCAGUGGCGGUGCCGUCUGGCUCUAAGCGUAGUAAUUUUCUCGCUAUAGGGUCCAGGUGACCACCUGCCAGAACCCCCCCACUCUUUACGGUUGACCUCGGAUCAGGUAGGGAUACCCGCUGAACUUAAGCAUAUCAAUAAGCGGAGGAAAAGAAACCAACAGGGAUUGCCUCAGUAACGGCGAGUGAAGCGGCAACAGCUCAAAUUUGAAAUCUGGCUCUUUCAGGGUCCGAGUUGUAAUUUGUAGAAGAUGCUUUGGGUGUGGCUCCGGUCUAAGUUCCUUGGAACAGGACGUCAUAGAGGGUGAGAAUCCCGUACGUGACUGGGUGCCUUCGCUCGUGUAAAGCUCUUUCGACGAGUCGAGUUGUUUGGGAAUGCAGCUCAAAAUGGGUGGUAUAUUUCAUCUAAAGCUAAAUAUUGGCCAGAGACCGAUAGCGCACAAGUAGAGUGAUCGAAAGAUGAAAAGCACUUUGGAAAGAGAGUUAAACAGUACGUGAAAUUGUUGAAAGGGAAGCGCUUGCAACCAGACUUGCGCGCCGUCGAUCAUCCGAGGUUUUCCCCGGUGCACUCGGCGGUGCUCAGGCCAGCAUCGGUUUCGGUGGUUAGAUAAAGGCCUUGGGAAUGUGGCUCCUCCGGGAGUGUUAUAGCCCUCGGUGCAAUGUAGCCUACCGGGACCGAGGACCGC